UACAGAGGUCUCAAGCGUUGUUCGGAUUCAUUGGGCGUAAAGGGCGCGUAGGCGGCGGGGUAAGUCGGGUGUGAAAUCUCAGGGCUCAACCCUGAAACUGCACUCGAUACUGCUCUGCUUGAGGACUGGAGAGGAGACUGGAAUUCACGGUGUAGCAGUGAAAUGCGUAGAUAUCGUGAGGAAGACCAGUGGCGAAGGCGGGUCUCUGGACAGUUCCUGACGCUGAGGCGCGAAGGCCAGGGGAGCGAACGGG
rnacentral:rRNA from 1 species